rnacentral:rRNA from 2 species
UGGUCCGGUGAAGUGUUCGGAUCGCUCCGACGUGGGCGGUUCGCUGCCCGCGACGUAGCGAGAAGUCCACUGAACCUUAUCAUUUAGAGGAAGGAGAAGUCGUAACAAGGUUUCCGUAGGUGAACCUGCGGAAGGAUCAUUG